CCCUUUAGAUGCUCUGGGCUGCACGCGUGCUACAAUGUUAGGAUCAAUAGGACUGCGAGCCUGAGAGGGUGCGCUACUCUUAUAAUCCCUAACGUAGUUGGGAUUGACGUUUGUAAUCAGCGUCAUGAACCAGGAAUCCCUUGUAAAUGUGUGUCAACAACGCACGUUGAAUACGUCCCUGCCCUUUGUACACACCGCCCGUCGCUCCUACCGAUUGGAUGACUCGGUGAAAUCACCGGAUGCUUACGAGCAGAAAGUGAUUAAAUCACGUUAUCUAGAGGAAGGAGAAGUCGUAACAAGGUAACGGUAGGUGAACCUGCCGUUGGAUCAGUU
rnacentral:ncRNA from 1 species